GACGAACGCUGGCGGCGUGCUUAACACAUGCAAGUCGAACGGACAGGUCCUGCUUUUGUGGGGUGCUCGAGAGGCGAACGGGUGAGUAACACGUGAGUAACCUGCCCUUGACUUUGGGGUAACUUCAGGAAACUGGGGCUCAUACCGGAUAGGAGCUCCUGCUGCAUGUUGGGGGUUGGAAAGUUUCGGCGGUUGGGGCUGGACUCGCGGCUUAUCAGCUUGUUGGUGGGGUAGUGGCUUACCAAGGCUUUGACGGGUAGCCGGCCUGGGAGGGUGACCGGCCACAUGGGGACUGCGAUACGGCCCAGACUCCUACCGGACGCAGCAGUCGGGAAUAUUGCACAAUGGGCGGAAGCCUGAUGCAGCAACGCCGCGUGCGUGAUGACGUCCUUCGGGUUGUAAACCGCUUUCGCCUGUGACGAAGCGUGAUUGACGGUAAUGGGUAAAGAAGCACCGGCUAACUACGUG
rnacentral:rRNA from 1 species